rnacentral:lncRNA from 1 species
GUGCAGGAGGAAGACAGGUGAAGAGGAGGGCGCGUGGGACGCCGCUGCCAGACACCGUGACCCUGCUCCUGCCAAGAUACUGCUGCAGCCAAUGCCGGGCAGCUUCAGCAGUGCCAUGGUUUUGUCCCUCUCUCCCUCUACUCUUCUUCCUGGUUGGUUCCCCUCUCUCUCUCUCUCUCUCUCUCUCUCUCUCUCUCUCUCCCCGAUCGAGAAGGACAAGGUAUUUAAACGAGUAAGAUAAGGUGCGAGAGGAGGAGGAUGGGGUCGAUGGAUGGCCUCUUGGGUGCGCGAGGAGAGGGGUAGCGAGCGAGAGACUAGUGAGGAGGGAGAGAGGGGGGGUCUCGACUCUCGACCGGCUUAGCUCUUCGGCGGCGUGGAGAGUCAGUCUCAGUCGCUGCCGUGGAGGGUGGAGCCUAGCUAGCUAGCUACCAAGAAAUGGCGGGAUAUAUAUGUAGUGUCAUGCGUGCGCGCGCUUUAUGCUUAUCUUAUUCCAAGUGGAUCUCUCUGGGGCUGAGUACGCCGCCGAUUGGAUCGCCGGGAAGGAAGCUCUGGGAUCCGCUGGCCGGUACUUGCUUGGCUGUUCCUUGGUCAUCGCUCUCCGCCAACGGAUUCCAUGCAUAUUGCUAACCGUCCUCCUUCAGCGGCGGCACAUUUCCACGUGCGGUGCGCUUCGCAUCGGCCUGCCGAAAUGAAAUCCAGGUGGCUUUUAUCCUGGAUUUACUCUGAAUCUCAAGAUGCCGGGUCAGUUUGUUCGUUGAAUGGUCAGUCGGAGAACGUUCCCAGAGAAAUACUGGUACAACGAAAGCGCCCUUCUCAGCUAGCUCGAGCUCAUAUGGGCUCGAGUGGACAGUAAAAUCAGAAAACAUAUUCAAAAAAUUCUGAUUCUUUUUUUGCGGCAACAUUUGAACAUUUGACAAAUGUCUUCAAUGCUGGCAAGUUUUCAUCGCGAAAUAACGUUCGUGGAGGCUGUGGCAGAAAUAAAACAAAACCAACAUUCUAAAAUAGCAUUUUUGGAGCAUCUCUUUUCUUUUUUUAUUUUUUGCCACGAUUUACAUGAAUGUCAUUUUACGAUGAAAUUUUGCAGGCAUUUAAAACAUUUGUCAAAUGUUGCCACAAAGAAAAAUCAGAAUUUUUUGAUAUUUUUUCUUUUGAUUUUACUGUUCACCCGAACUCAUAUGGGCUCGAGCUCAGUUUAUCCACUUCCCUUCUAAUAAGUCUGUUUAUUAUAUAUAUUUUACCGAGUGAUAAAUUUGGGUGGCCGGUUAAGGUCUCUACAUUUCUUGCACGCACUAUUGACGGGGAAACAUCCGAUGAUACCAUGUCACAAAAUUCAAAUUUACGUGUUACAGAAAAUUCUGCAAAAAUUCUCAAUGUUGACAAGACAGAUGUCUGCUAUCCCUAAAGAAUUCAGAUUCACAAUCGAAAUACACAUUGAGAAAUGAAAAAGACAAAUCCAGCAUGAAUAGUGUCAUAGAAAGACAAAUGCAAACAUGACACUGUUCACAUGUGGAUUUGACUUUCGAUCUGAAUUUUUUUUAGGGAUUGCAGACAUUGGACAAUUUUUUUUCAGAUUUUUUUGACACAUCAAAAUUUAAGUUUUGAAACAUGGUAUCAUGUGAUAUCUUCCCCACUAUCAUUUCAAAAAUAUCUUCCCCACUAUUGAUCUAUCGUACAAGCAAAGGCAGAUUACCGCACGCUGAUGGAAAAAACAUGUGCCAAGCUCUACUACUCUGUCGUUGCAUUAUUGCUUCUGCAACAGAGAUGUGGUGAUGGCAUUCGUUGGCUGCCAAGCCGAACAUGCGCAUUCUACCUUUGUUUUUUUAAAACCAUACUAUUAUAUGCCAGCAGUUUACCAUUUUAAAUUUGAUAAGAGUGCAUUAUUUUUAUAAUACUAGGUAAACUUGUUGACUAGUACAAUUUGCAUGUGCAGUUUCGGGUACCCAGAGCCUGUCUCCUAUAGACUAUGGUUUCAAAGAACCUAAUUAAAGCGGUAAACCACUGGAAGAAAAGGAAUAUUGAACAGCAGAAGCAGCAGUGUCAACCCCAAGAGGGCGGCUCUUGGCACCAAUCAAAGAUGAAGCCACUGUUGGCUGCUGUACCACCCCGACCCAGUAAACAAGUCCACAAGUCGUCCACGUCCCGUUUACAUCGUACCCCGGCG